rnacentral:misc_RNA from 1 species
GAUGAAGAACGUAGCGAAAUGCGAUAACUAAUGUGAAUUGCAGAAUUCAGUGAAUCAUCGAGUCUUUGAACGCACAUUGCGCCCCCUGGUAUUCCGGGGGGCAUGCCUGUCCGAGCGUCAUUGCUGCCCUCAGGCACGGCUUGUGUGUUGGGCCUCCGUCCUCCUCCCGGGGGACGGGCCCGAAAGGCAGCGGCGGCACCGCGUCCGGUCCUCGAGCGUAUGGGGCUUCGUCACCCGCUCUUGUAGGCCCGGUCGGCGCUUGCCGACACAUCAAUCUUUUUUCCAGGUUGACCUCGGAUCAGGUAGGGAUACCCGCUGAACUUAAGCAUAUCAAUAAGCGGAGGA